AGUCAAUGGCCUAACGGCUGAACUGGCAACUUGGAGAAGUGGCAAGUCUUCCAGUAUGGGGAGCAAACAGCUAUGGGUCAAGCCCGAUACCUUUAAGAGAAGUCUUAUUGUGAGGGCGAGUUGUAUAACACCAUAGGGCUGGCCGUCCCAUAUGAAAAGAUUUUAUUAGAAUUGAAUGAAACUUUGUUUAUAUAUUGAUAAUGACAGUAUAUAUAUCGUGUCUUGACUAAUUGCGUGCCAGCAGUCGCGGUAAUACGUAAGAGACUAGUGUUAUUCAUCUUAAUUAGGUUUAAAGGGUACCCAGACGGUCUAUAUAGCUUAUAAAAUGUUAGUAUAAGACUAGAGUUUUAUGUAAGAGGGCAGUACUUGAGGAGGAGAGAUGAAAUUUCGUGAUACCAAAGGGACUCUGUAAAGGCGAAGGCAGCCCUCUAUGUAAAAACUGACGUUGAAGGACGAAGGCACAGAGAACAAACAGGAUUAGAUACCCAAGUAGUCUUUGCAGUAAAUGAUGAAUGCCAUAGGUUAGAUCUAUAUUUCUAUUAUAAUAAUACAUUUCUAUUAUUUAUUCUAAAACGCAUUCCUUAUAUAGCUUCGCGCUAUAAUAUAUUUUAUAUAUAGUGCAGCAGAAAUUAGAAAUUUUUGUAUCUGGUCUAUAAAUGAAAGUGUAAGCAUUUCACCUCAAGAGUAAUGUGGCAACGCAGGAACUGAAAUCACUAGACCGUUUCUGACACCAGUAGUGAAGUAGGUUAUU
rnacentral:rRNA from 1 species